UGAACGCUGGCGGCGUGCCUAAUACAUGCACGUCGAGCGAACAGAUGAGGAGCUUGCUCCUCUGACGUUAGCGGCGGACGGGUGAGUAACACGUGGAUAACCUACCUAUAAGACUGGGAUAACUUCGGGAAACCGGAGCUAAUACCGGAUAAUAUAUUGAACCGCAUGGUUCAAUAGUGAAAGACGGUUUUGCUGUCACUUAUAGAUGGAUCCGCGCCGCAUUAGCUAGUUGGUAAGGUAACGGCUUACCAAGGCAACGAUGCGUAGCCGACCUGAGAGGGUGAUCGGCCACACUGGAACUGAGACACGGUCCAGACUCCUACGGGAGGCAGCAGUAGGGAAUCUUCCGCAAUGGGCGAAAGCUUGACGGAGCAACGCCGCGUGAGUGAUGAAGGUCUUCGGAUCGUAAAACUCUGUUAUUAGGGAAGAACAAAUGUGUAAGUAACUAUGCACGUCUUGACGGUACCUAAGCAGAAAGCCACGGCUAACUACGU
rnacentral:rRNA from 1 species